AGGUUUCCGUAGGUGAACCUGCGGAAGGAUCAUUUCUGAAGGCUUUUUGCCNAAACCACUGUGAACAGCUUAGACUUCGGUCUUUGCAAUUGCUUGGGUGUCGAAAGGCGCCCAAUCUUUAAAACUUUUAUAUUUGUUCUGAAACAAUGAAAAUUUAAAACUUUCAACAACGGAUCUCUUGGUUCUCGUAUCGAUGAAGAACGCAGCAAAGCGCGAUAGGUAAUGCGAAUUGCAGACGUGAGUCAUUGAAUUUUUGAACGCAUAUUGCGCUAUUAGUUUGUCUAAUAGCAUGCUUGUUGGAGUGAUAAUCUUCCUCUCAACCAUUUUUGGUAUGAGGUCUUGCUCCUUUUAGGAGUUAAAAUCAUGGAAGUGCACACGUUAAUUAACUCUGUGCAGUUAUACACUUUUCAUCCUCCAAUCAAGCAAGGUUACCCGCUGAACUUAAGCAUNNNAAUAA
rnacentral:rRNA from 1 species